CUACGGGGUGCAGCAGUGAGGAAUUUUGCGCAAUGGGGGAAACCCUGACGCAGCAACGCCGCGUGAGCGAAGAAGGCCUUCGGGUCGUAAAGCUCUGUCAAGUGGGAAAAAAAUUCUUUGAUGAACAGUCAAAGGACUUGAUGGUACCACUGGAGGAAGCACCGGCUAACUCCGUGCCAGCAGCCGCGGUAAUACGGAGGGUGCAAGCGUUGUUCGGAAUUACUGGGCGUAAAGAGCGUGUAGGCGGUUUGACAAGUCAGAUGUGAAAGCCACGGGCUCAACCCGGGAAGUGCAUUUGAAACUGUUUCACUAGAGUAUGGGAGAGGAGAUUGGAAUUCCUGGUGUAGAGGUGAAAUUCGUAGAUAUCAGGAGGAACACCCGUGGCGAAGGCGAUUCUCUGGACCAAUACUGACGCUGAGACGCGAAAGCGUGGGGAGCAAACAGGAUUAGAUACCCUGGUAGUC
rnacentral:rRNA from 1 species